rnacentral:tRNA from 1 species
GGUUUUAAGUUAGUUAAACUAGGGGCCUUCAAAGCCUCCAUCAGAAGAUUACCUUCUAGACUUUA